rnacentral:lncRNA from 1 species
GCUCCUUAGAAAGGAAAUGAUGCGCAAUACUCCAGUCAUGGGCUGUUGGAAACCAAUUCUUCCAGGUGAAGCGUGAAGCCUUUGAACUGAUCUUCAUUCUUGAGUCUGAUUUGGCUGCUCUGACAUGUAGAGGAGAGCCCCUGGCAGGCCUAGGGGACUGUUCUGCUAGUUUGAAUUUGCCCCCAAGUCAUGAAGGACCUGAAGAGUCAACAGAGUACAGAGGGAGUAAAUGGCCCAAAGGCUCAUAGAGAUAAAGGUCCUGCCUUAUGUGAGAGGUGGGUCAGAGUCGUCAAAAGACAGGGAGAUGUAAUUCUUAGCUGCCCUGCUUUUGAGACUCUCCAAGGAAUCUUCUUCAAUUGUCAAUUCAGCUUCCAGUUUCAAGAGAGAAGAUGAAGAGGUCAAUCUCACUUUAGGAUGCUAAAGGAAAUCUCUGGGAAGACCUGAGAAGAAUGGAAAGUUUCUAUCAGGUCCACCUUGCUAUUCUAGAGUUGUUAGAGUUUCCCCUUGGAUGAUAUCCAAGACCUUCUCUCUUGAUUGAGCUAAGUUACCUCAAUCUCAAUGAGAGAGUUCCUCCACCUCGAAUUGUUUGGUAUAUUCUCCCAUGUAUACUUUCUCUGAUUUGUGUUUUGUUAUGAUUUGAAUAAAUUGCAUUUUUUUUGCUAGUCA